CAGGCCUUGACAUCCAAUGAACUUUCUAGAGAUAGAUUGGUGCCUUCGGGAACAUUGAGACAGGUGCUGCAUGGCUGUUGUCAGCUCGUGUCGUGAAAUGUUGGGUUAAGUCCCGCAACGAGCGCAACCCCUAUUGACAGUUGCCAAUAUUAAGUUAGGAACUCUGUCGAGACUGCUGUUGAUAAAACGGAGGAAGGUGGGGAUGAUGUCAAGUCAUCAUGGCCUUUAUGCUUAGGGCUACACACGUGCUACAAUGGCCGGUACAAAACGUCGCAAUCCCGCAAGGGGGAGCUAAUCGCAAAAACCGGUCUCAGUUCGGAUUGAAGUCUGCAACUCGACUUCAUGAAGCUGGAAUCGCUAGUAAUCGUAGAUCAGCAUGCUACGGUGAAUACGUUCCC
rnacentral:rRNA from 1 species